ensembl:lncRNA
CAGGAAGUCAUGGUUGACCUCUUAAGAGUUCCUUAUCAAACAGGUGAACUUAAAAAUGUAAAACAUGACUGGAAAUAUACUUCAGUUAUAUUUUAAUUAUAAGAUUUUUCCAGGGGUGCCAAUAAUUGUGGCACACAUGUUUUGGGGAAAAAUAUUUAUUUAAGGUCAACAGUUUUUUUUUCGUUCAAUAAUUUUACUUCAAUGAAAAGGUAAGAUUUUUGUGAAUAUUUUGAGUGAAAGACCAAGAGGAUAAACAGCAAAGACAUAUUUUUCUAUAGCCUGUUUUGCUCAUAUUCACUAGGGGUGCCAAUAAUUGUGGAGGGCACUGUAUAUGCUGUAGAGGGCCACCGGAGGAGUGGAGCCACAAAGAUGUAAAUGUUUAUUAUGCAAUAUCCUGUACAUGAAUGUAAAAUGGUCAGAAUAGGAAAUGUUGAGAAGGGACAAUGAUUUCUUGAUACAAACACCAGGGUCAGUUAAUAGGAUCAGCAGUAAAGCUACACCAAGUAACUGUAAACCUAAGCUAACUGUUACAGUAUUACUGUUGGUAGUAAUGCAAGCUAGCUCAAUGCUAGUAAGUAUGCUGCUAUAAUAUAGCUAGGUUUGGUUUACUGACACCGUGUUCAGUAAAUGGAUGCACACUGUGGGUUCAUACCUUUAAGAAUGUUCUGCAAAUAUAUAGGGAAUGGAGCAUGUUGCCUUUUAGAACAGCUUUGAUUUGCCUCCACGUGGAUGUUUUGGUUCCACUAGACAGAAACUUGCCAAAGUCUGCAUCAUGUAUUGCCCUGUUGUGACAAUGUCCAUAUGAUGGUGGGCCAUUCUUGAACCAAAGAUGAUUUUUGCCUUGAGUCCUGACACUAUUGCAGUUAUUUACACCAAAGGGGCACUGAUAUCAACUACCAUACCCAUGUUUCAUGUUCAUGUUCACACUCACAUGUUAAUAUUUAUUUUUCCUAUGUUCACCUUCAGACUGGCACACCUCUGUAAUCUAUGUCACACAAGCCUUAAGGCUUAGAACUCCCUUCUUAAGCCUGCCUCUCUGUCAUUCAACUGUGUUGACGGAUGAGUGUUUGCAAGAGCAAUCAAUAAGGGAUCAGAACUUUCAACUGGUUAAUUGAUCUGGUUAGUCAGUGCCAUGUAUGGUGACAGUGCCAGAUGUUCCUUAUUUUGCCGCACUGCAAGGCGGCCACAUAAAGGAAGCACCAACCAAAGUCAGCAAUUAUGUUGAUAAUCCGAUCUGCUGAGCCAUUUAUAUUUUGUAGUUUGGACUGACAUUAUUGAUGAUGAUAAUGAUGACAAUGUACUGCUUGUAUUAUUCUACACACAGUCCUGUUACAAUGUAACAAGCCAUUUUUGGGGAGUGCCUACAGGUAUGCAUUUUUUAAAUGUUUGUGAAGGCAACUUUGCACAAAAAAGCCAAAGAGGAAUGAGCACCAGCACCAUUCCAAAUGACCUGUGCACAUACAGUCGUCAUCAGAUAUGUGUACAGUAUAUACACGCAAACAUGCUCAUAUAUAGGCAGAGAAUGACACAUGGCAGCUUCUACCCUCUUUCGUUCCUUCUCAUAGUAGUGAAGGCAGAGCGGACAUGCUGUUAAUCAGAGAUGGAUCCCGAUAAACUGUAGAUGAGUUGAACUUUCAAGUGUGUGGAUUUUUAGGGGAUAGGUUUGCAUGUGAACCAUCUCUGAUCUGUAUUAUUUUUUCAUAAAUAUACCUCGGGCCAGACUGCCUCUUUGAACAUUAUGUUGGGCGAGUGUGUUUGUUUGUUUGUGUAUGUGUGUGUGUGUGUGAUAUUUCCUUUUAUAACAACUAUUACUUUUAUCUUUGUGUGAAAAUGAGAGAUCUGCAAUUGCCAAAUAAACCAUGCCAUUUAUUCAUUUUUCCGGGUGUGCUGUCUUUCACUGUAUGUGUGUGUGUGUGUGUGUGUGUGUGU